CUACGGAGGAUGCAAGCGUUAUCCGGAUUUAUUGGGUUUAAAGGGUGCGUAGGCGGGACUGUAAGUCAGGGGUGAAAUACUGCAGCUUAACUGUAGCAUUGCCUUUGAAACUGUGGUUCUUGAGUACAGUUGAGGUAGGCGGAAUGUGGUGUGUAGCGGUGAAAUGCAUAGAUAUACCACAGAACGCCGAUUGCGAAGGCAGCUUACUAAGCUGUUACUGACGCUGAGGCACGAAAGCGUGGGGAUCAAACAGGAUUAGAUACCCUGGUAGUCCACGCUGUAAACGAUGAUUACUGGUUGUUAGCGAUAUAUAGCUAGUGACUGAGCGAAAGCAUUAAGUAAUCCACCUGGGGAGUACGUCGGCAACGAUGAAACUCAAAGGAAUUGACGGGG
rnacentral:rRNA from 1 species